rnacentral:sRNA from 12 species
AAACUAAAUAAAAUAUAAAAGCAAACAACAAUGACUCGCAGAUCGAAUUUAACCCCAG